UACGUAGGGUGCAAGCGUUGUCCGGAAUUAUUGGGCGUAAAGAGCUCGUAGGCGGUCUGUUGCGUCGGCUGUGAAAACCCGGGGCUCAACUCCGGGCCUGCAGCCGAUACGGGCAGACUAGAGUUCGGCAGGGGAGACUGGAAUUCCUGGUGUAGCGGUGAAAUGCGCAGAUAUCAGGAGGGACACCGGUGGCGAAGGCGGGUCUCUGGGCCGAUACUGACGCUGAGGAGCGAAAGCGUGGGGAGCGAACAGG
rnacentral:rRNA from 1 species